rnacentral:rRNA from 1 species
UACGUAGGGGGCAAGCGUUGUCCGGAUUCAUUGGGCGUAAAGAGCGUGUAGGCGGCCAGGUAGGUCGGUUGUGAAAACUGGAGGCUCAACCUUCAGAGGUCGACCGAAACCAUCUGGCUAGAGUCCGGGAGAGGAGAGUGGAAUUCCUGGUGUAGCGGUGAAAUGCGCAGAUAUCUGGAGGAACACCGGUGGCGAAGGCGGCAUCCUGGACCAACACUGACACUGAGGAGCGAAAGCCAGGGGAGCAAACGGG